rnacentral:rRNA from 1 species
GAUGAACGCUGGCGGCGUGCCUAAUACAUGCAAGUCGAGCGAACGGACGAGAAGCUUGCUUCUCUGAUGUUAGCGGCGGACGGGUGAGUAACACGUGGAUAACCUACCUAUAAGACUGGGAUAACUUCGGGAAACCGGAGCUAAUACCGGAUAAUAUUUUGAACCGCAUGGUUCAAAAGUGAAAGACGGUCUUGCUGUCACUUAUAGAUGGAUCCGCGCUGCAUUAGCUAGUUGGUAAGGUAACGGCUUACCAAGGCAACGAUGCAUAGCCGACCUGAGAGGGUGAUCGGCCACACUGGAACUGAGACACGGUCAAGACUCCUACGGGAGGCAGCAGUAGGGAAUCUUCCGCAAUGGGCGAAAGCCUGACGGAGCAACGCCGCGUGAGUGAUGAAGGUCUUCGGAUCGUAAAACUCUGUUAUUAGGGAAGAACAUAUGUGUAAGUAACUGUGCACAUCUUGACGGUAACUAAUCAGAAAGCCACGGCUAACUACGUG